AAUCAAUUUUUUCUUUAAUGUGUGAAUUUUCUUAAGGUUUUUGUAUUUUAUUUAAUAUUAAUCAAAAUAUAAUUAAAAAUAUCUUUGUACGAAAUACAUUUGUAUAAACAAAAUAAUGUGUUAAUCCUGUGCGAGCAGUAAAUAUAUAAGAUAAUAAUAUCCUAGUUUGUUUUUGGUUCUGAUUGAAACGAGAAAUAUAUUAGUUUUAUUAUGAGGUUUAUUUAUUUUUAUUUUUUAUAUUGAGUACAAAAUUUCUCCUAGAAAUUUCGCUCCAAUCGUAACAUAAAUAAGUAAAUAAAUAAAUGUCAAGAGUCCUUUUUUGUUACAUUUUAACUCUUGUUGGUACUUUAGUUAAGUCAUUUUUUGAAAUACUCAUUAAUAUUCAAUAUAAUGAGGAAAAACUGAUUCUUUGGUUUAAAAAUUAAAAGAUUAAGAAUAAGAUUAUCAUUGGCAGCCAGUUUUUAUUUGUUUUAUGUUAUUUGUUUUUAUUAUUUUAAUCGCAUAACUUUUUUAAAACAAUCGUUGUUUUCGUGAAAAUACACAUUGUUGAAAAAUCAAUAUUAUUGACCGAACUCUGUUCAGAACCGUUUUUCGUUAGCAAUGAUUAAUCUUCGCGUACAGAUAUAAAUUAAAUUCCUCUCUAUAUCCUACCUUCCAAACUUCUCACCAACAACAAUGGCUCACCCGUGGUGUGGAAUAUGCUACCCGUUUAUUUUUAUAUAAUUUCAAUUUUUAUCUAUACUUUGAUUUACUUAUAUAUAUAUAAAUAAAAUAUCUCUGCACCCUUCAUUUAACAUAACUGAACUGGGUAACUUCUGAACUCUAAUCGUAUUUAUCGUUUUUUAAAUUAAUAUUGUAUAUAUACAGAGUGUAUUUGCAGGCUUUG